CCUGAACGCUGGCGGCGUGGCUAAGACAUGCAAGUCGUACGGUGUAGCAAUACACAGUGGCGAACGGGAGAGUAAUGAAUCGCUAAUGUGCCCCGGACUUUGGGAUAGCUGACCGAAAGGUCAGGUAAUACCAGAUGACAUACCUUUAUCGCAUGAUAAGGGCCUCAAAGGUCCGCCGGUCUGGGAGCAGGCGAUUUCGUAUCAGCUAGUUGGUAGGGUAACGGCCUACCAAGGCGACGACGCGUAGCCGGACUGAGAGGUUGGCCGGCCUCAUUGGGACUGAGACACUGCCCAGACUCCUACGGGGGGCUGCAGUAACGAAUCUUCCGCAAUGCACGAAAGUAGUGACGGAGCGACGCCGCGUGGAGGACGAAGUUCUUCGGAAUGUAAACUCCUGUACGAGGGGUUAAGAAAGUUCUGAUCAACCCCAGAGGAAGGCACGGCUAACUCUGUGCCA
rnacentral:rRNA from 1 species